UCACUUACUUGUUGGCAGCCGUUGAAUACGCAGUAGUGCUUACCGAACAUCUGAAUGAAUUCUACCUCAGCCAGAGGAAUUUCAGCAAGGCACUGUAUACAAUCUGGGAAUAUGUGCUUAUCUAUGCGUUCAGACUCACCUGCAUUGAUGCAGUCAGGUGCAAUCGGAUUUCUCAGGAUUCAAAGAUCAGAUGAUUGGCUAUAACAUCUCUGAUUCAUUUCUGGUGCCCGUCCACCUGGACCCGCCACUUUCUGUGUGAAGAACUGAAAAGCUCCGUCAUCUUUGUCAGUCCUAUCCUUAACUUGCUUCUGAAAAGAUAUCACUGAAAUGAUUGUGUUUUUUCCUUUGCUUUGCAAUUCAGUUACAUGGGGUUACCAGUUUGGUACCCCAGCUCUUUAUCAUUGUCCUGUUGUUUCUCUUACGAUACCAAAAUACCAGGUCCCAAUAUAAAAACCAAAAGAAUAAAGCCAAAAAACACAAAAUGCUCUGAUUCCCUAAAAUGAUUCUGAUGCUAAAUAAUAAAAGAUUUCUUUUGA